rnacentral:tRNA from 1 species
GCCCUGGUAGUAUAGUCCGGUCUAGUAUAAGCGGCUGUCGCCCGCUGGACCCGGGUUCAAAUCCCGGCCAGGGCGCCA